GCCAGGCGUGGUGGCACACACCUGUAGUCCCAGCUAUUCAGGAGGCUGAGGUGGGGGAAUCACCUGAGCCCAGGAGGUCCAGGGUGCAGUGAGCUGUGAUCGUGCCACUGCACUCCAGCCUGGGCAACAGAGCGAGACCCCAUCUCAA
ensembl:misc_RNA Metazoa_SRP Metazoan signal recognition particle RNA